UUUCCAACAACCACACCUUCUCCCGCCCCUCUUUCUUCUGCACAUCGACUACCAUCAACAAAUUAAGCAAAACUACAAGUUCUCACUUCCCAGGUUCUGAUUUGUAAAUUGUGGAGGGUUCCGAGUUCGAUUUGUAAACAUAGGCAAUGAUGCGGCUUCUAUUGGAAACUAGGGUUCCGAUUUGAAAAUGAUUUUUCUUAAUCAGUGGAAAUAUCAAUUGAUUCAUCCUUCACAUCUCCAUCCAUCUGCGUUCUGUUUUGGAUUUCGAAGGGCUGCGUUCUGUAAGCUUAUUUUAUUCAAACAGUGAAUCAAAAACAACCUUCACUACUGGGUACUGACUGAAGGUUGCACCAAUCAAACAGGCCCACUUUGGAUUAUUAAAGCUUGGGGUAUGAUGGGGCGUGGGUUGGGGCAUGGUGCGACACGUGGAGUAGGGGGCACCCAAGACCAAAAGCCAAUUUCAAAGGGGUAUGUGGGUAGCCCCGCCCCACGCCCGGGCUGAAUCCCACGCCAAUGGGGCCACGCCCAAACCUAAGCCCACCUGGAAUUUGUGGGUUGUUGACUUGUUAUUCUUGAUACAAGACAUCAAUGUGGUUGAAUUUGAAUAAAGUGGAUGGUGGUCAUAAAAAAGAAACAGUGGUUAGGCAUUGAGAAAGUCAAACUUUUGCAUUUAUCUUAAAAUCCAGUAUAUCCCUCGAAUCUGUUUCGACGGAGAUUUCGGAUGAGUCGUCCUCUAUUUCUCCGUAUUCUAAAUGAGGUUGUGGCUAACGAGCCAUACUUCGUCCAAAGAAGAGAUAAUAUCGGAAGACUCGGUUUAUCUUCUAUGCAAAAGAUAAUAUCGGAAGACUCGGUUAUAUUAGAUUGUUUUGUGAAUGUUAUGAGUUGGGUUUAGAAAUAUGUUAUGCGAUGUUCAUUAGAAUUAUAUAUGUAUGACUAGAA
rnacentral:lncRNA from 1 species